ACAUUUGUAGUUCAGUGGUAGAAUUCUUGCCUUCCAUGCCAGAGAACCAGGUUCAGUUCCUGGCCAGUAUA
rnacentral:tRNA from 1 species